GACUCGAAAGCGGAGUGGUCCGCGUCUGCUUUGCAUUCAGGUGCAGUGUGACAGGAUUUACAAUUGGAUGCAGAUAUUGUCGGUUCGACUCCGGCUCGAGUCU